rnacentral:rRNA from 1 species
AAGAUCGAAUGGGGAGAUUCAUCGUCAACGACGCAGGCUCAGCGGUGGCUCGUGAUGCCCGGGACUUCGGCCCCGAGGCACGCGGUCGUCGCUUUGCGUCCGGCGGCGUCGGCGUGCACUUCUCCUCUAGUAGAACGUCGCGACCCGUUGGGUGCCGGUCUUACGGCCCGGGUGGAUGCCUGUCGCAUCGUCUCGGCGUGUGCGGCAGACCCUCGGUCCCCAAAGAAUCGGCUGCCCGGCGGUACUCCCAUGGUAUCGGGCCGCAACUAUCGAACUGCGUCGGGCCCGCUUUGUCCGCCGGUCAGUGUCUCGGUGGUACGGACCUAGCGCCGUCCCCGGGUCUGGCUAGCUUGUCAGGCGGUGUCCUCCGACUGGCCAUAACCUCGAAUGAUACCGGUCGGCGACGCUACUGCUUUGGGUAAUCUCAGGACCCGUCUUGAAACACGGACCAAGGAGUCUAACAUGUGCGCGAGUCAUUGGGACCGCAAGCCUAAAGGCGAAAUGAAAGUGAAGGUCGGCCCUCGCGCCGACCGAGGGAGGAUGGGCCGCGUCACGAUGCGGCUCCGCACUCCCGGGGCGUCUCGUUCUCAUCCGAGAAGAGGCGCACCCAGAGCGUACACGUUGGGACCCGAAAGAUGGUGAACUAUGCCUGGUCAGGACGAAGUCAGGGGAAACCCUGAUGGAGGUCCGUAGCGAUUCUGACGUGCAAAUCGAUCGUC